AAGAGCCUUAUCCUGGCUCAGGAUGAACGCUGGCGGCGUGCUUGACACAUGCAAGUCGAACGGGAAACUUUUCAUUGAAGCUUCGGCAGAUUUGGUCUGUUUCUAGUGGCGGACGGGUGAGUAACGCGUGGGUAACCUGCCUUAUACAGGGGGAUAACAACCAGAAAUGGUUGCUAAUACCGCAUAAGCGCACAGGACCGCAUGGUCCGGUGUGAAAAACUCCGGUGGUAUAAGAUGGACCCGCGUUGGAUUAGCUAGUUGGCAGGGUAACGGCCUACCAAGGCGACGAUCCAUAGCCGGCCUGAGAGGGUGAACGGUCACAUUGGGACUGAGACACGGCCCAGACUCCUACGGGAGGCAGCAGUGGGGAAUAUUGCACAAUGGGGGAAACCCUGAUGCAGCGACGCCGCGUGAAGGAAGAAGUAUCUCGGUAUGUAAACUUCUAUCAGCAGGGAAGAUAGUGACGGUACCUGACUAAGAAGCCCCGGCUAACUACGUGCCAGCAGCCGCGGUAAUACGUAGGGGGCAAGCGUUAUCCGGAUUUACUGGGUGUAAAGGGAGCGUAGACGGACUGGCAAGUCUGAUGUGAAAGGCGGGGGCUCAACCCCUGGACUGCAUUGGAAACUGUUAGUCUUGAGUGCCGGAGAGGUAAGCGGAAUUCCUAGUGUAGCGGUGAAAAUGCGUAGAUAUUAGGAGGAACACCAGUGGCGAAGGCGGCUUACUGGACGGUAACUGACGUUGAGGCUCGAAAGCGUGGGGAGCAAACAGGAUUAGAUACCCUAGUAGUCCACGCCGUAAACGAUGAGAACUAGGUGUUGGGGGAAUAACUCAGUGCCGCAGUUAACGCAGUAAGUUCUCCGCCUGGGGAGUAUGCACGCAAGUGUGAAACUCAAAGGAAUUGACGGGGGCCCGCACAAGCGGUGGAGUAUGUGGUUUAAUUCGAAGCAACGCGAAGAACCUUACCAGGCCUUGACAUCCCUUGCAGAGGUAUAGAGAUAUAUCCGAGGUUAUCAAGGAGACAGGUGGUGCAUGGUUGUCGUCAGCUCGUGUCGUGAGAUGUUGGGUUAAGUCCCGCAACGAGCGCAACCCUUGUGAUAUGUUACUAACAUUGAGUUGAGGACUCAUAUCAGACUGCCGGUGAUAAACCGGAGGAAGGUGGGGAUGACGUCAAAUCAUCAUGCCCCUUAUGGCGUGGGCUACACACGUACUACAAUGGCGUCUACAAAGAGCGGCAAGCCUGUGAAGGCAAGCGAAUCUCAUAAAGGACGUCUCAGUUCGGAUUGAAGUCUGCAACCCGACUUCAUGAAGCGGGAAUCGCUAGUAAUCGCGAAUCAGCAUGUCGCGGUGAACACGUUCUCGGCCCUUGCACACACCGCCCGUCA
rnacentral:rRNA from 1 species